rnacentral:rRNA from 1 species
AUUGAACGCUGGCGGCAGGCUUAACACAUGCAAGUCGAGCGGGGGAAGGUAGCUUGCUACCGGACCUAGCGGCGGACGGGUGAGUAAUGCUUAGGAAUCUGCCUAUUAGUGGGGGACAACAUCUCGAAAGGGAUGCUAAUACCGCAUACGUCCUACGGGAGAAAGCAGGGGAUCUUCGGACCUUGCGCUAAUAGAUGAGCCUAAGUCGGAUUAGCUAGUUGGUGGGGUAAAGGCCUACCAAGGCGACGAUCUGUAGCGGGUCUGAGAGGAUGAUCCGGCACACUGGGACUGAGACACGGCACAGACUCCUACCGGAGGCAGCAGUGGGGAAUAUUGGACAAUGGGGGGAACCCUGAUCCAGCCAUGCCGCGUGUGUGAAGAAGGCCUUAUGGUUGUAAAGCACUUUAAGCGAGGAGGAGGCUACUUUAGUUAAUACCUAGGGAUAGUGGACGUUACUCGCAGAAUAAGCGCCGGCUAACUCUGUGCCAGCAGCCGCAGUAA